UGAGCAACAUUUAAAAGAGCCAGAUGAAUCAGAAGAUUGUAAAAGUAUCUCCGCUUUCUCUGAAGCAGGUGAUGGUGUGAAGGAGGUUAUCUGGUGCUGUCAUUAUUAAGAGGGGCAAUAUCUCACUGCAAAAGAGGUGCUGAAGGCAGUGACUGUCCCUGGGGUAGCAGCAGAGGGAAGGUGUGUGUGUUUGCAGCCCGGUGCUAAGGCACACACACCGCUGACAGGUGCGGUGUGAACACGACACAAACUUGGAAACUAAAGUGAGACAUUGGUGGAAAGUGAAAAUGGAAAACUUUCCAGAUGCCAGGUGGAAAAUGAUAUUAAAGCUGUCAAAAUAAGUCACAACAAAGACUGGGUUUUCUCCUAGACUAACAGGAGUUCAUGUUCUGGGGUAGAAUGGAGGUUUCAACUACAAGGUGGAGUGUCAUAAAUGAAACAAUUAUGAGCAUUGGAGGUUAAAUCUGAACCUUUUUUGGGGGGGUUUUAUGCUUUGGUCUCUUUAUUUUUUCUUUUUCUCUUUCAAGUGCACUGCAGCAUUCCUGAUUUACUCUACAGUUUGUGGACAGGUCAAAAAUGUGUAAAUAAAUCCCACUGUUGUUGCUUCACAUAGUUAUCUAUUCUGGGCCUAAUUCCAAGCCCUGUUAAAUUGAUGGCAAUCCUUCCAUUGGCAUCAGAGGACUGCAGCUGAAAACCUGUGAUGGAGGUGCAAAGCAUCACCAGAGAGGAUGGAUAAACAGCCUCUGCAGUCAUCCAAAAUUGACAGAGAUAAUGAUGCCAUUGCAUUUGAAAAUAACAUCCAGCAACUGAGCCCAUCUGAAGAGGGGGAAGAAAAGGAAGUUUUUUCCACUGUUGGGGAAACAAAGAGUCAGAACUGCAAAGGGGGUGAUGAUUUGCCAGACUUAUUCAAUGAAAGUAAAGAGCAGGAAUAUCCAACUGCAUCAGAACAAACUGUUGUAAGAAAUCUCAAGAAUCUAAAAUUUGAGGCUUGUGCUGCACAUCAAGAAAAAGGAGAAAAACAACGUUUCAACUGUUUUUUCUGCACAUUCACCUCGGUCAAGUUAUCAAGUCUUAGGCGUCAUUUGAAAACCCAUUCAGAUGAGAAACGUCACGUGUGUCACCUCUGCCCGAAGGCCUUCCGUACAGCAACUCUGCUGCACAACCAUGUGAACACACAUACAGGGAACAAACCCCAUAAAUGCAGUGAGUGUGACACAGCCUUUGUGACCCGAGGGGAGCUUUCACGACACAGGAGGUACAAACACACUUUGGAGAAGCCUUUCAAGUGCACAAUAUGUGAAUACUCCAGUGUAGAAGCCAGCAAGAUGAGACGCCACGUUCGCUCGCACACGGGAGAGCGGCCCUACCCCUGUCACCUGUGCAGCUAUGCAAGCAAAGAUGCCUACAAACUGAAAAGGCACAUGUUAACUCACACUGGUGAAAAACGCUACCAAUGUUAUGUUUGCCAAGCCAGAUUCACUCAAAGUGGUACCAUGAAAAUCCAUAUGUUACAAAAGCAUGGAGAAAAUGUGCCAAAAUACCAAUGUCCACAUUGUAGUACUUUCCUUUCUCGAAAAAGUGAUUUGGGUGUCCACCUGAGGAAUCUGCAUUCCUACAUGGAAGAGGCAGUGAAGUGCAGGGACUGUGAGGCAACUUUCCACGAGCGCUACGCUUUCCUUCAGCACAGGAAGACUCACAGGAAUGAGAAAAGGUUCAGAUGUGCUCAGUGCAGCUGCACAUGGAGCCAGAGUAAUAUGUGUAAGCAUGCUGAAAAUUGUGGAUUGGUGAGGGCAAAAACUGCUACACCCAGAAAAGGAAGCAAAGGCAAAAAUAAAAGCCACGAGAACCCGAAGCGUGCUAAGCCAGAAGUUGCCCUAAAAUCAUUCCAAGAUGACUCUACUGUGAAAAAUGAACAUUGUGCCAGUGAGAUUGCUCCUGUUUUAGAUGGGACAGAAACAGCAACUCCAAGGGAACACAGGACAGAAGCAACUCAUUAAGUGGAUCCUCAACAUGAUGGACAAAUAAUGCACAAACAGACUGGUCCUCCCUGUUCUCAGUAGUUGUAACUGAGCAGUUCAAAGUGUGGAACUACCUCCAGUUAGAAAGGUGGAAAAGCUGCUGGUUGGAAGCUGUUGAAGCCCUUCUGUUUCUUCUUGCUGCAGUUUCUACUGUGUAACCUAAAUACCUUUGCAAAGUGUGAAAGAGGCAACUUCCACCUGGUUUAUUACAUACUUCUAAUAACAGAAUGGGGACAAGCUGCUUAUUUCAGAGUCAUUUUUUAAAGUGUGGAUGGCUUGUUUCCCCUUGCAUUUGUUUGUUUCCAGCUUUACUCACAGAACUGCAGACUGAUCUGAGGCAAAUUUAUCCCUCAGUAUCACAGAGAGCUGCCUGAAUUUCAAUGUUUAUACUUUGCUGAGGUGAGCACAUGAAAGGCAAUGAUUUUUUAGUACAAGGUACAUUUACUAAAUCUCCUUUCUGCAAACACUUGAGUUUGUAAUCGAAUUCAUGAUGCAAUAGAAAUGCCUGACAAUUUUAUGGGGAAGCAACUUUUUUUAUGCCUCAUACUACUGGUAAUUAGAAACUAAUCUUUUGUCUGAGUUUUUCUCAGCUCAGGUAGCUGGGCAGACAGAACUGAGUGACAAAAGUGGAGCAGGGUGGCAGAGAAGUGUGGAGGAUCCCCUCAUUCUGGUCUGUAAAACCUUCUGUGACCUUAAGCUGACUCUCCUUUGAGUGCUGGUCAGUGCUUAAGCUGAUAGGAAGGCACUGUGGCAGCAUGACUAACAGCCAUGGGCACGAGUGGUGUGCUGCAUCUUGGAAGGAGCAAACACAGAGUUUCAUCUGCUGGUAAUGGGAAGAUCCAAAGAGGAGACACAGACUCCAUAGUCUAAAGGCCUUUCUAAAAUUGAACUAUUAUUGAUUUUAUCCCUGCCCUAUCCACAUAACAACAUCUGCAGCUAAUGGAAGGAAUGCAGAGGAGUGACACUGCUGAUGGAUUUGAUAAGAAAGAAUCUUGCUUUUAUUUCCAACUAAUUAAAUGGUGAAAAGGAAAUAGUCACAUUCUGAAGCAGGGAAGUAAUUGUGAUUUAAACAUAAAAUUACCAUUUAGUGUUGAACCCUUUGGUGAAUACACAAGCUGUUGUUACUUCACAACAAAUAUCAAUAAGCAGCAUGAGGGAAUUUUUCUUUCACCAGAGGAAGCAAAAUGUUUAUUUUUGCAAGAAGUUGCAGAGUUUGUUUUCUGUUAAAGCUCCACAAAGGAUGACAAUUACCCAAGCACUGGUGGGGAAGCUCUGCAGUGCCUGGAGGAACAAAUCCUCUCAAUUUUCCUUCUGCAACAGAAGUGAUGAACCCUGGAUCUCUGUGGACAAAAGGAGUUGCACCACUCAGAUAUUCAGUGUUAUCAGUUUGGUGUCAGUUAAAUCACUUCAUUUUGUUGCCAUGGGGUCUUUGUGGUGAGUUUUAAAAAAAUGAGCUUCAUAAGGAGCCUGUUGGUGAUGUACCAGGGAAGAAAAUUGUCUGACAGUGUCACCUAAAAUUCAGGACAGCCCUGCUGAGAGGGGACAAGGAUGAUGCUCCCAUUGAAACCCUUUGCUGAUGUCCUCUUGCUUGUGUGGAGCUCUUAAUUUCAAAGCAAUUGCUCUGUGCAAGUGACAUCUCUUGUGUCAUCCUGAGUGGGCACAUCCUCCCUGCUGCUGCUGUUCCCAGCCUUGGAAAAGACAAUUUUCUGCAAGUUUUGGUUCUCACAUCCUCAGCUCUUCAGGCUGUGAGGAGGAAACCAGUGUGGCAGGGCUGUGUCCUUCCUGGAAAUGCUCUGGGAUGCCCUGAGUGCUGUGACCCCACUGCACCCUGAGCACCAGACCCCUCAGAGCUGAGCUUCAGCCUUAUUUCCUGAAGAAAUGGUGUUCUGGAGUGUGCAACCAGAAGUAACCAAGGGGCAGGAGCUGGAAGCUGAAACUGUUCCCAGCCUGAUGUCAGGGGACAACCUCUGAUGUUUGCAAUGGCACAGGAGCCACCACUGCUGCUCUUCUGCCCAAACCCUGUUGGGCCAGGCACUGCACUGGUGCAGAGGAAAAGCUGUCCCUGCCCUGAAGAGAUCCCAGGCUCACAAGCAACAGUCCCUGCCUGGAAGGAAACCCUUCUCCCUCUGCUGCAUCUGGAGACAUGGGCCAUUAUGUGAGUGUGUUUUGAGGGAGGGAAAAUUUAUCUGGAAUUCAGCACUUCUGGAGGUUUCAGAUGAAGACAGAGCACUUGAUGAUUCUACUACUGACAACAGCUACUGAACAAUUUCAUACAGAGGAGGACUUGGCUCAGCCUUCCCUAAAUUUGCCUUGAAUGCAACAUCCCUGCUUGAUCAUAGCUGGAGCUUCCUCUCAUCAAAGGCAAUACUGAUUUCUCCAGGCUGCUACAGCAUGAACAGAGCCCAUUUCAGAGGAGCUGCUCUGGAAGUGCCUUUGGGUCCUGCAGUCUCAUCAGACAGGGAGCAGAACCCCUGGGCAGCCCCUCUGUAUGCUCAUGGAGCUCCAGAACAUCAACCCCAUCACUCCCUGGGCACAGCAGCACUGGGGGCUGUGGGAUGAAGGCACAGCACUGCCCCUCUCCCAGCCCUGCUCUGCUGCUGCCAGGCAUUACAACGCAGAUUUUCCUCUUGCAAAGGCUCCAGCUCUGCAGACAGCCACUACCCUCACUGCGGGGAAAUCAGUAGGAUGUCUUGGGGCAAAGGUAAAACUAAAGUACAUCAGUAAAUGUUUGCAGGAUCAGGACCUUAUUCAGGCAUAAAUCAAGUAGCUCCCGCCAACAAUAGAAUUACCUAAGUAUAAAAUCCCAUGUAAGCCAGUAAGAUCAGCUCCAAACCUGCUAUGAAUUUGCUUUUUGUUUCCAUGCCAAGAAUAUAUCACUUCUAACUGCUGCAAUCAGGGCUGGUCCUUUCAGGUUUUUUGGAGUGCUCUUGGGCACGUUUAUUUCCCGUCUCCAGCAGAUCCACACGGAGCCUGGCCCUCCUUUCCCUGGGGCAUGUCCCAGCCUGCUUCACCCACAAUAAAUUGUCGUUAUCAGAGAA